rnacentral:rRNA from 1 species
GAGUUUGAUCCUGGCUCAGGACGAACGCUGGCGGCGCGCCUAACACAUGCAAGUCGAACGAGCGAGAGAGAGCUUGCUUUCUCGAGCGAGUGGCGAACGGGUGAGUAACGCGUGAGGAACCUGCCUCAAAGAGGGGGACAACAGUUGGAAACGACUGCUAAUACCGCAUAAGCCCACAGCUCGGCAUCGAGCAGAGGGAAAAGGAGCAAUCCGCUUUGAGAUGGCCUCGCGUCCGAUUAGCUAGUUGGUGAGGUAACGGCCCACCAAGGCGACGAUCGGUAGCCGGACUGAGAGGUUGAACGGCCACAUUGGGACUGAGACACGGCCCAGACUCCUACGGGAGGCAGCAGUGGGGAAUAUUGCACAAUGGGGGAAACCCUGAUGCAGCGACGCCGCGUGGAGGAAGAAGGUCUUCGGAUUGUAAACUCCUGUUGUUGAGGAAGACAAUGACGGUACUCAACAAGGAAGUGACGGCUAACUACGUGCCAGCAGCCGCGGUAAAACGUAGGUCACAAGCGUUGUCCGGAAUUACUGGGUGUAAAGGGAGCGCAGGCGGGAAGACAAGUUGGAAGUGAAAUCCAUGGGCUCAACCCAUGAACUGCUUUCAAAACUGUUUUUCUUGAGUAGUGCGGAGGUAGGCGGAAUUCCCGGUGUAGCGGUGGAAUGCGUAGAUAUCGGGAGGAACACCAGUGGCGAAGGCGGCCUACUGGGCACCAACUGACGCUGAGGCUCGAAAGUGCGGGUAGCAAACAGGAUUAGAUACCCUGGUAGUCCACACUGUAAACGAUGAUUACUAGGUGUUGGAGGAUUGACCCCUUCAGUGCCGCAGUUAACACAAUAAGUAAUCCACCUGGGGAGUACGACCGCAAGGUUGAAACUCAAAGGAAUUGACGGGGGCCCGCACAAGCAGUGGAGUAUGUGGUUUAAUUCGACGCAACGCGAAGAACCUUACCAAGUCUUGACAUCCUGCGACGCACAUAGAAAUAUGUGUUUCCUUCGGGACGCAGAGACAGGUGGUGCAUGGUUGUCGUCAGCUCGUGUCGUGAGAUGUUGGGUUAAGUCCCGCAACGAGCGCAACCCUUAUGGUCAGUUACUACGCAAGAGGACUCUGGCCAGACUGCCGUUGACAAAACGGAGGAAGGUGGGGAUGACGUCAAAUCAUCAUGCCCUUUAUGACUUGGGCUACACACGUACUACAAUGGCGUUAAACAAAGAGAAGCAAGACCGCGAGGUGGAGCAAAACUCUGAAACAACGUCCCAGUUCGGACUGCAGGCUGCAACUCGCCUGCACGAAGUCGGAAUUGCUAGUAAUCGCAGAUCAGCAUGCUGCGGUGAAUACGUUCCCGGGCCUUGACACAC